rnacentral:rRNA from 1 species
CGCGCAUAUCGCGCAUGAACCGAGGCCUGAACCNGCAUACCGAGUGAGUGAUGAAGGCCUUAGGGUUGUAAAGCUCUUUUAGCAAGGAAGAUAAUGACGUUACUUGCAGAAAAAGCCCCGGCUAACUCCGUGCCAGCAGCCGGUAAUACAAA